rnacentral:lncRNA from 1 species
AUGCUACAAAUAUCUCCUUUCCACGCAUCUCAAAAUUUGCUUAACACGAUAACAUUUAUUUUGAAUUCUUCCUUGUCUACUUCUCUACGUCGGGCCUCAUCUUUCUCUGGUCAUAACAAUAGAAUAACCCUAUACAUAAUAUUUCGAUGAUAAAUAAGUUUACACUUUAGACCCUAUAACAGAUACUAAGCAUGUGAUCCGUUUCAACGAGACCAUCCCAAACCUGCAGUGCCAACAUUUCCGACUGGUUGAAUAGGUUCCACCAAGCCCUUCGUAGAGCUUCCAAGCCCCUCCCCCUGCAUAAAUCAUAUAAAGUAGUUACAAUCAUAAUCCCAAACCAUUCGACAAAUAUGUGAUACGACUCGGCGUUGUUCUUCAUGGCAUAAUGGCGUGAUGAGAAUGGCUCCUAAACAAGGUACGACUAUUUUAUGAUGGGUGUAAUCAUAGAUUGUCGUAAAACUCAUUUUAUGAUUUUUGAUAACUGACGAUGGAAAUCUUAUUCUUUUGUUGGUCGAUGAAAAUUAAACUUUUAUUUUACAUAGGUAGGGGGUUGUGUGGCUCAUUUCAAGACCUACUACAUUACCAAAUUCAAAUACACCUGUCUUCCUCAUGGUGUGGCGCCUUUUGAGCUAUAAGUGUGUGGCAUAGGAAAAAUAAAGUAAUUUGAUGAUAAGUAUGAAGAUACCUCCUUCCAACCCAUGCUUUUCAGAAGUUUUCUGGCAUAACUACCUGCUCCAAAUGACAUCUCCAAGGCCUCUGAUGCAGCUUCUUGAGGACAACCAGCAUCAGGUGAAGAUGGCGAAUUAUAAACAUCAGGCAGAUUCUUCUGUCCUGGACCCAUGCCGAAGCCACCAUGCAAUAUUCUUCUUUCAGCGGCCCUAUCUCUGUAUUGAUGUUUAAUUUGCUGUCAGAGCAAACAAAAAACGAGUUGAAGGUUAACCGAUUCUGGAUAUAUCCUUAGAUGUGGUCAAUUAUUCUAUAGAAAGGGUGAUCAUGUAAGAAAGGAAAGACAAGUUUAGAGCCUUUAUCUCUAUGUUGUUAUAUUCUCUCUUUCCUAUUCGAUCCAGUCAACUUCCAUAACCCACAACUCUUACUGAAGUGGUCACUUUCCACUCAAAUAUGUUAUGAGAAAGGAAAAUUAUAAGUCAUAGCAUGUGUUACAUUACUUUCAUCCUAUGUCCUUUCUCAAGAAGUUGGGCAUCCAUUUAUCUACUAUAAAAUUAAGAAAAAUGCAGCUAUUUGUUUGAUUUCAACAUCAGACUACACACCUUAGAUACAGAGGGCUGACUUGGUAAUGCAGACAAAUCCUUCUCUACAGGGAUAUCAUCUGAAACUGAAGCAGAGCUUUCACUGGAUUUGGAGAGCUGAGUGAUUUUUCUAUUAGGUGAUAGCUGGGGAAAAUCCCAAUGUUUUGUUGGAUUUGAGGAAUCAUAAGUUGAUAAUGAAGCCAUGUAUUUUGCACUAGGAUUUCGCAAUCUGUACACUUGUCCUGUUGAAAGAACAUGAUAAGCAUAUGUAUUUAUCCCAGAGUAUUCUAGCUCUAUCAUUCUACUCAAAAUUCCCAUACUUCUUCAUUUUAAAACUACACACUCAUCCAUGAGAAUGAAAUUAAUGACAGGUUGUAUAGGAAAGGCAUACAAGCAAGAAAGUUUGUAAUUUUUUGAAUUACAUGUUAGUAAAUGCCUCCAUUAUCACUUUUUUAAUACUUACAUCUCCUUAGAAAUGACAACAAAA